ACGCUCGACACCUACGGGGGCAGCAGUCGGGAAUAUUGCGCAAUGGAGGAAACUCUGACGCAGUGACGCCGCGUAUAGGAAGAAGGUUUUCGGAUUGUAAACUAUUGUCGUUAGGGAAGAUACAAGACAGUACCUAAGGAGGAAGCACCGGCUAACUAUGUGUCAGCAGCCGCGGUAAUCUGAGCGGGCUGGCAAGGC
rnacentral:rRNA from 1 species